CCUUACCUACCCUUGACAUGUCUGGAAUCCCGAAGAGAUUUGGGAGUGCUCGCAAGAGAACCGGAACACAGGUGCUGCAUGGCUGUCGUCAGCUCGUGUCGUGAGAUGUUGGGUUAAGUCCCGCAACGAGCGCAACCCUUGUCAUUAGUUGCUACGAAAGGGCACUCUAAUGAGACUGCCGGUGACAAACCGGAGGAAGGUGGGGAUGACGUCAAGUCCUCAUGGCCCUUAUGGGUAGGGCUUCACACGUCAUACAAUGGUCGGGACAGAGGGUUGCCAAGCCGCGAGGUGGAGCCAAUCCCAGAAACCCGAUCGUAGUCCGGAUUGCAGUCUGCAACUCGACUGCAUGAAGUCGGAAUCGCUAGUAAUCGCGGAUCAGAAUGUCGCGGUGAAUACGUUCCCGGGUCUUGUACACACCGCCCGUCACACCAUGGGAGUGGGUUUCACCAGAAGUAGGUAGCCUAACCGUAAGGGGGGCGCUUACCACGGUGGGAUUCAUGACUGGGGUGAAGUCGUAACAAGGUAGGCGUAGUGCU
rnacentral:rRNA from 1 species